UUGUGCAUCAUCUGUCCAAUAUGUAAGUGCAAAUUUGCGAGAAUUAUUUUCUCUGAUGGUAUGCUUUCAAGCUGUGGUGCUGUUAUGAUUGAGACGUGGUUGAUUGCAGGUACCAGAGGAGCACUACAGCGGUUUCUGUAGUUGCACCGGUAUGCUAUGCUCACUUGGCUGCUACCCAGAGGGGUCAAUUUAUGAAGUUUGAAGAUGCUUCAGAGACUUCCUCCAGCCAUGGAGGGAUGACUUCUGCUGGGGCUCAUCCUGUUCCACAAAUGCCCAAAUUGCGUGAUAAUGUGUGCAGCUCCAUGUUCUUCUGCUGAGGCUUUUGAGCUGUAAAUGGCAUGUAGAGUUUAUAUUUCCUUUUGGAAACUUGUGGGAAGAAAUGGACAUGUUUGAUGUUGGAUUUUGUUGGCACAAGGAAGUAUUGUCGUUCUAUUUAUUGAAGGUUGCAUAAUUCUCUGCGUAACUUUAGGUUGAUUUGCUUUACUUUAUAUGAAGCGUGAUAUUAUAGUCACUUUUUUGUUUU